rnacentral:tRNA from 1 species
GGCGGGAUGGCAGAGCGGACAUGCACCCGACCGCAGAUCGGGCCCACGGGAGUUCAAAUCUCUCUCCCGCCUCUA